GUGAGGAAUAUUGGACAAUGGGCGCAAGCCUGAUCCAGCCAUGCAGCGUGCAGGAAGACGCAUCUAUGGUGUGUAAACUGCUUUUGUACGGGAAGAAACACUCCCUCGUGAGGGAGCUUGACGGUACCGUAAGAAUAAGGAUCGGCUAACUCCGUGCCAGCAGCCGCGGUAAUACGGAGGAUCCAAGCGUUAUCCGGAAUCAUUGGGUUUAAAGGGUCCGUAGGCGGUUAAAUAAGUCAGUGGUGAAAGCCCAUCGCUCAACGAUGGAACGGCCAUUGAUACUGUUAGACUUGAAUUACAAGGAAGUAACUAGAAUAUGUAGUGUAGCGGUGAAAUGCUUAGAUAUUACAUGGAAUACCAAAUGCGAAGGCAGGUUACUACUUGUGGAUUGACGCUGAUGGACGAAAGCGUGGGGAGCGAACAGGAUUAGAUACCCCAGUAGUCC
rnacentral:rRNA from 1 species